rnacentral:rRNA from 1 species
GACGAACGCUGGCGGCGUGCUUAACACAUGCAAGUCGAACGGAAAGGCCCCUUUGGGGGUACUCGAGUGGCGAACGGGUGAGUAACACGUGAGUAACCUGCCCUUGACUUCGGGAUAACUUCAGGAAACUGGGGCCAAUACCGGAUAGGAAUCCUUGCUGCAUGGUGGGGGUUGGAAAGCUUCGGCGGUUUUGGAUGGACUCGCGGCUUAUCAGCUUGUUGGUGGGGUAGUGGCUUACCAAGGCUUUGACGGGUAGCCGGCCUGAGAGGGCGACCGGCCACAUUGGGACUGAGAUACGGCACAGACUCCUACGGGAGGCAGCAGUGGGGAAUAUUGCACAAUGGGCGGAAGCCUGAUGCAGCAACGCCGCGUGCGGGAUGACGGCCUUCGGGUUGUAAACCGCUUUCAGCAGGGGCGAAGCUUGUGGUGACGGUACCUGCAGAAGAAGCACCGGCUAACUACGUG